ensembl:lncRNA
AGACCAUCAAGUCCAACCCCAACCCACCCCCACUGUGCCCACCAUCCCUGCGUGCCACAUCUGCACAGCUCUGGGACACCCCCAGGGAUGGGGACUCCCACACAUCCCUGGUGCUCUGCUGAGCUUCAUUGCUAAUUCCCACAUCUCGCCUACAUUUGUUUUCUACUAUCAGCUCUAAAGACGACAGUGAAAACUUGCUUUUCCAGAACAUAGCUGGGUUAAUUGCAAACAUCCAAAGGCAAUGCAUCCGAGGAUUGUAAGUUUCCUUUUAUUAAACAGGAGUAGAGUUAUUCAGCCCAGAAGUGUACAGCACAGUGGUCCCGGGGCUGUCUCCAAUGUGGAAGCACGCACCUGGGCUGCACCUGGAGGUGGACAGGUCUGUGAAGCACAGGGAAUGGCAGAGCUGAGAAAUGAGGGAAGGAAACAGGGGAGGCACAGCUCCCUCCUGCAGCUCUCCGCUGCUCACUGCUACCAGCACAGCCCCGGCUGGUGGUACAGCACAGACCCACUGCUGUCUCCCAGCGCCUGAGAGGAUCGCAUGGAACAACACUAUGGGCGCUCUCUGUAGAACAAGAGAACGAAGGGAGGGGAAGCAACCUCGGUGGUGGUGAUGCUAUGAAAGUAAGCACUACGUGACUGCGUUGCAUGAAGCAGUGAGAGACCAACCGGCGCUCAGCUGAGGGUGGAAGUGGUCCAGAGACCCCCGGGAAAAUAGGAUGGGCUGAGGCAGGAAGCCCCUGCAGAAGCACCCAGCGUAAGCACGAUGCUGUGCCUGCAUGUAACCUUCAGAUGUGCAAACCUAAAACUGUGUCAGUGCCGUGGAGAUCGGUGCAAACAUGUUCAGAGCGUAAGGAAUAUACAUGAGAUGGGAAACAAAAACUCAGUUCUCACGUUACCUAAUACUGUAAGAGACUUUUGUCCAUAUAAGAAGAAAGCGUACAAUAUAUUGCACAUAAAUGACCGGAGAUAAGCCAGGCUGAUUCAUGAAUUCCAAGAAGGUAAUAAAAGAAAGAGGAUUAAAAGCUAUAACGUAAUGCAUCAAUGAGUCACUUCAAAACUAUAUUUCAUGCGUGAGUACUAUGAAAAAAAGGAAGGGAAGAAGGAAAUCCCCAAAAUGCUCUCAGGAGAAUAAAAAAAACAAGGUAAGUCAGCGAGAAAAAAAAGACAGACAAAAAUUCAAGAAGCAAAACAAGUAUGAACAGGGAGGAAAUAGCUCACCAAGGCAAUAACACAGAAAGAAAUGGCAGCAAUUAUGAUUAAUUAGUAAAAAUCUUAAGGAAAUACAACCCGGUGUCCGGGUCGGGCACGCAGCGGCGCAGGAGCUGCAUGUAGGUGAGGUUCUCGUGCGUGUUGGGGUCGAAGAAGCCCUUGGUGUCGUCGCUGGGGUCGGACAGCACGCGGUUCAUCUCCUCAUUGAAGUACCCGCGCUUGUAGGC